AUCUAAAUCUCUUAUACUGAUCUCCUGGUGAUAUUUUAUAAAGAUACUGAGUAGAUAGUGACAGACAUGAGGAAAAGUGUUUUAUUAGUUUUGUUUGUUGUUCUUCUACUAUGCAUUCAAGUUUCAUCUCACCCACAUUUGAAAGAAAUGAAAAGAUGCAGUAAACCAAUGUGUUCUAGGAGACGAAAGAAUCAAUGUGGUUGCAAUGGAUGUUGCUGGGCCACAGGUUGUAAAAGAGGACGAUGUAGAGGGAAGAAAUGCAUGUGUUCUAAAUGUCCAAAAGUGCCUCCCACCACAACUACAACUACAAUGAUGUCAUCGACAACGUCAAGUGCUGACGCAGACGAGACGACUACGAUGUACCCAUGAUGUAUGAUGGAUAAUGUGUCCUUGUUUAAAAUAUCGCAAACUAUAUUACCAAUAAAAUAGUUUUUGCUGUU